AGAGUUUGAUCCUGGCUCAGAUUGAACGCUGGCGGCAUGCCUUACACAUGCAAGUCGAACGGUAACAGGUCUUCGGAUGCUGACGAGUGGCGAACGGGUGAGUAAUACAUCGGAACGUGCCCGAGAGUGGGGGAUAACGGAGCGAAAGCUUUGCUAAUACCGCAUACGAUCUACGGAUGAAAGCAGGGGACCGCAAGGCCUUGCGCUCAUGGAGCGGCCGAUGGCAGAUUAGGUAGUUGGUGGGAUAAAAGCUUACCAAGCCGACGAUCUGUAGCUGGUCUGAGAGGACGACCAGCCACACUGGGACUGAGACACGGCCCAGACUCCUACGGGAGGCAGCAGUGGGGAAUUUUGGACAAUGGGCGCAAGCCUGAUCCAGCCAUGCCGCGUGCAGGAUGAAGGCCUUCGGGUUGUAAACUGCUUUUGUACGGAACGAAAAGACUCUGGUUAAUACCUGGGGUCCAUGACGGUACCGUAAGAA
rnacentral:rRNA from 1 species